CGAAGAGGCAGCUGGAGCGUGGGAGGUGGGGUGCUGCUGUUCGUGAAUCCAAGUACGAAUCGACACUGCAAGUCUCGGGUUGCGGGGGGCGCUGUGUGCUUCCAUAAAGUACCCACGGGAGCGUUUAACUAGGCAUACACCCAUACGGAUGAGGAGAACGUGGGAAGAUUUGACAACAACAAGAUUUUGAAAGGCACCAAAAAAAAGAAAGGGCAAGUAGUAGAUGAUUUAGCAAACCAAUAAUGGGGAGAGCUCAAAGGCAACAUUAUUUGCACCGUAGGAUCACCAAAAAGUUUAGGACCUGAUAACCUCGGGCACCUCUGGAAGUGGCAGUCCAGUGGAAAACAGAGGUCCUGGAAUUAGGGGAAUUGGAGAAAACUUUUUAAACAGAUCCCCUCCCCCUGCUCUCAGUAACUAGACUACUGACAAUCCCCCUUAAAAAAGACUGAGUUUUCCUUCUGGACAGGGUAAAACAGAAGGAAGAUUAAGCAACUAUGUACAUACUAAGUAAUAAAACACUUCCACAACCCUA